rnacentral:rRNA from 1 species
CGCAAUGGGCGAAAGCCUGACGGAGCAAUACCGCGUGAGGGAUGACGGCCUAUGGGUUGUAAACCUCUUUUUUCAGGGAGGAAUCAAUGACGUGUACCUGAAGAAUAAGCAUCGGCUAACUCCGUGCCAGCAGCCGCGGUAAGACGGAGGAUGCAAGUGUUAUCCGGAAUCACUGGGCGUAAAGCGUCUGUAGGUGGUCAAAUAAGUCAACUGUUAAAUCUUGAGGCUCAACCUCAAAAUCGCAGUCGAAACUAUUAGACUAGAGUAUAGUAGGGGUAAAGGGAAUUUCCAGUGGAGCGGUGAAAUGCGUAGAGAUUGGAAAGAACACCGAUGGCGAAGGCACUUUACUGGGCUAUUACUUUCUUUUGAGACGAAAGCUA